rnacentral:rRNA from 1 species
UACGUAGGGUGCGAGCGUUAAUCGGAAUUACUGGGCGUAAAGCGUGCGCAGGCGGUUUUGUAAACCAGAUGUGAAAUCCCCGGGCUCAACCUGGGAAUGGCAUUUGGGACUGCAAGGCUGGAGUACGGCAGAGGAGACUGGAAUUCCUGGUGUAGCAGUGAAAUGCGCAGAUAUCAGGAGGAACACCGGUGGCGAAGGCGGGUCUCUGGGCCGAUGAUUGACGCUGAGGAGCGAAAGCGUGGGGAGCGAACAGG